UACAGAGGCCCCAAGCGUUAGGCGGAAUCACUGGGCUUAAAGCGUGUGUAGGCGGACCCCUAAGUGCCUUGUGAAAUCCCACGGCUCACCCGUGGAACGGCUGGGCAUACUGGGGGUCUUGAGCCACCUAGGGGCGAGUGGAACAAAUGGUGGAGCGGUGAAAUGCGUAGAUAUCUGGAGGAACAUCAGUGGCGAAGGCGACACCCUGGACUCAUACUGACACUGAGGUGCGAAAGCGUGGGGAGCAAACAGG
rnacentral:rRNA from 1 species